AACGUAGGUUCCGAGCGUUAUCCGGAUUUACUGGGCGUAAAGCGCGUUCAGGCGGUUCGGCAAGUCGGGCAUGAAAUCUCUCGGCUCAACCGGGAGAGGUUGUCCGAUACUGCUGGACUUGAGGGCAGUAGAGGGUGGUGGAAUUCCGGGUGUAGUGGUGAAAUGCGUAGAUAUCCGGAGGAACACCAGUGGCGAAAGCGGCCACCUGGACUGUACCUGACGCUCAAACGCGAAAGCGUGGGGAGCAAACAGG
rnacentral:rRNA from 1 species